UUGGCGGACGGGUGAGUAACACGUGAGUAACCUGCCUUAGACAUUGGGAUAGCCUCGGGAAACCGGGAUUAAUACCAAAUGAAAUCACAUAUGCACAUGCAUAAAUGAUCAAAGCUCCGGCGGUCUAAGAUGGACUCGCGUCCCAUUAGCUAGUUGGUGAGGUAACGGCCCACCAAGGCGACGAUGGGUAGCCGGCCUGAGAGGGUGAACGGCCACAUUGGAACUGAGAAACGGUCCAAACUCCUACGGGAGGCAGCAGUGGGGAAUAUUGCACAAUGGAGGGAACUCUGAUGCAGCGACGCCGCGUGAACGAAGAAGGCUUUCGAGUCGUAAAGUUCUUUUAUAUGGGAAGAUAAUGACGGUACCAUAAGAAAAAGCCCCGGCUAACUACGUGCCAGCAGCCGCGGUAAUACGA
rnacentral:rRNA from 1 species